rnacentral:rRNA from 1 species
AUGCCAACUACAAAUACCAGUGUGCCAACUGAUGUGUCAGUUAGCAGCGUGGUCACAGUCAAAACCACCACAGCUGCUCAUGAAGGCACCACUGCAACUGCAAGCCCCAAGGUGCCUACUCAUAGAGAUGAUUCAAUGCCAAACACAAAAGGAGGUGAUCCUACUACCAAAUUGUCGUCCCCAAGAGCCAGCACACAGCAGCCAAGCAAGCCUCCAUCACCAAGAGCUGGCUUUCAGCAACCAUUAAUAGAAGAGGAGGUGUUCAAGAUUAUAAGUAGGUGCAAGCCUCCAAGGCCGCCAACUACAACACUAUCGCGAACCAAGUCAGUGAACGAUGCACCCAUGUUUGUGCCGCAAGGAGAUGCCCUGGUCCUUGAACCAUACGAAGAUCAAAGUCUUAUCAUGGUGACGGGUUCUGUGAUGCACCAUCUUUUAACCUCGGCAUAG